rnacentral:rRNA from 1 species
UACGUAGGUGGCGAGCGUUAUCCGGAAUUACUGGGCGUAAAGCGCACGCAGGCGGUCUUUUGGGUCUGACGUGAAAGCUCCUGGCUUAACUGGGAGAGGUCGUUGGAAACUGGGAGACUUGAGGCAAUGAGAGGGGUGUGGAAUUCCCGGUGUAGUGGUGGAAUGCGUAGAGAUCGGGAGGAACACCAGUGGCGAAGGCGACACGCUGGGCCUGGCCUGACGCUCAGACGCGAAAGCAUGGGGAGCGAAC